ACAGGCUCCUAUCGAAGCCGUCCAUGCUCUCUCGUAGCAGUGGACGGUCAACAGGAAGCCGAAAUGAAAACUUUCACCGACGGUCGCUGGUCAGUUCGACGGUAACUGCCUCAGCAACAUUUAGGGGAAGGACAUCU
ensembl:snoRNA